ACUCCUCCUGCGUAUUUUCCAUCCCCCCCGGCGCCUCCUUUCUUUCUCCCCUCGCUCUCUUCUCCUUCCUCUCUCCCCUCCCCCUGCGCCGCACAACAUCGACUCAGGACCCACACCAGCCUCUUCCCCUCCCACAUCACCGCCGCCAUCCCCCUCCCCCUCCCCUACCCUCCCCUCCCGCGAGAAGAGGACCUCCACCCCGACCCAGCAGGUGAGCCGUCGGCCAGGUCGCGCCCAAAUCCGUCCUUCCUAUGCCCGUCGUCGUCGAGCUGCGCCCAGAUCCGUCCUUCCUCUGGCCGUCGUCGUCGAGCAGCGGUCAGAUCGGCCAUGGCGCGACCAAGCAGGCGGCGGCCGCGCGGGCGAGGCGUCCUCCGCUGUCACGGGCCAGAGCAGCAGCAGCCGCCCGCAGAGGAGGCAGCGGGAGCCUCCCGCGUCCGAGGACGACUCCGCCUCCGCUAGGCCCGUCUCCACCUCCGGCGGCGGCGGCUCUGGCUCCGGCGACCAGGAUUUGUUGCAAAAUUGCAAGUCUGUGUUGUCAUCUCUCAAGAAUCAGAACAACAUGACAUCGGAUGAACACAUACCGUGCACUCAGGGUCAUACCAUAUGUUCCUCUUGCCAUGACAAGCUCCCAGACACAGAUAAAACACAGGUGGAGAGGGGCAUAGACCUGGUCGCGACCUCUGCAGGUGGAGAGGGACUGCGGUGGCUGACUGACUGACGCGCCAGCGGUGAAGGUGUUCGUGGUGGGGCACGACUGGGGCGCCAUCAUGUCGUGGAACCUCUGCCUGCUGCGGCCGGAUCGGGUGCGCGCGCUCGUCAACCUCAGCGUCGCCUUCAUGCCCCGCCACCCCUCGGCAAAGCCCCUCCACUACUUCCGCCGCGCCUACGGGGACGACUACUAUGUCUGCAAAUUCCAGAUGAUGGCUUGUCGUUCUCCUCAUACAAAGAAACAAGGGCUGGACAUCAUAGAAAGUAGACAUAAGUAGCCAGCGCGUGACCACAAUUUAUGGAGAUAUACUUUGCCAAACCUUUCGUGAGAGUAUCGAGCACACCGUUGGACUCAAGGCAACUUGGAGUAGUUGAACUGGCAGGGCUACUAUUGGGACCGGCGGAACUACUAUCUGGCGGAGAUAAAGCACGAUCCUUCGCUCUACGAGCUGAGCCACUCGUGGUACUACAAGAAGGCCGACCUGCCAAGAGGCACAGUGCUCAGGUCAGCAAUUCCUUCCAUGGGUCGAUCGCUACAGGCUAUUGGUUCUACGUGCUCAGGUGAAGCUUUCUCUAAAGUGCAUGUUUGUGUGUGUGUUGCUGCCUUACUUGAUGCUGCUUGAUUGGCCCCUGUGAAAUCAGAAUCUGCCUCGCGUUAGUGUGGCGGUGCAUCUUCUUGUUCAGUUUGAUUUGAUUUGGAUUGGUUUGGUUUGAAAAUCGUUGCUAGAGGAAGUAUGCAUCACCUAUUUGGUAGAUGAUGCAUGGUAGUGCUAUCUCUGAGCAAUGGAGAAAUAAAAAAGAGAGGGCCUUCCGCCUGUGUUGCAUGAGCGACCUGCCUGCUCAUGCUGCGGAUUUGCCCUUGGUCUUCAUUUGUGUGUUGUGGUGUGUGAUCUGUCAGCUACAGACUGAUUAUUGUAAUGCUAAGAAAUUCCUUCGAUUGUUGUACAAAUGGUGAUUUGUGCAUGUCAUCAUAUAUAAGCUGCAGCUUUUUACGUUUUGUUCCGAGCUGAUCAUAUAAGCUUGUAGAAUUUAAACAAGUAGACGGUUUUUUCUUGAAAGGGUAGUAAAAAAAGACAGUUGUUACUGAGAAAUAAGCUAGAGUACAAUAGAGUCCCCAAGGUCAGGGUGUUAAGUUGUAUUUGUUGUUUGUCUUUUCAUGUGCCCUGCCUUAGCUUAUUUGGUCAGAUGUUAACUAGCUGCUAAUAAGUUGGAAUAAUCAGUUUCAGUUCUCCAUCUGAAUCCUUGGGGUAUGAAUGUUGGAAGUGAUUCUAUUUUCUCUUUUGCGAGUAUGUCGGAAUUGAUUCUCUUUUCUCUUCGCCUCUUGUGGCGACCACUGUGUCGUUUCCGUCUCGACCUCAGAUUUUGUCUCCUGUCCUACAGCCUGCGGCGAUAAAAAAAUCGGCGUCGAACCUGACCAUAAUAUGUUUGUUUCCUCUCAUGCCACUUCUAUAUGAUCAUAAUAUGUUUGCAGAAUGUUACUUUGUAGAAUCAUUGUUCAGCCUCUUUGUUUAUAUAUGUGGAGUUCUUAUUCAUUUGAUUUUAUCCUUUUGGCAGGCUCUUGUAGCUUAAACUAUGAACAUUUCUGUCACAUACCGUCUCUUUAAAUCUGAAUCUUGAUUGCUUCUGUUUCACAUGUCAGUAUACUGUACAUCAAAAAAAUCCUAGCUAGUUUGAGAAAAUUUUAGCCGCUCCAUAAACACAUACUAGUUAAUGUUAGUCAUACUAUUUAUGUACAUUUCAUUUGGUGUCAAUUCUUGCUUCUAAGUUAUUGGAUCCCUCAUUGACCAUUGUUUGAUGUUCUCGACACAUUCUUAUUCUUACAUGUUCAUUCUUACUUUUUGCACACGUGAAGUGCGAAUCCAAGUCCGAAGCUGUGAAGCAUAUCAGCAAAGAGUAGCAUAUUAUGUAUUGUAAUUGUAGGCAGUAGUAGGCUUAUUUGGGCUGUAGUACUACUUAUUUGGGCUGUAGUAUAAUGUAACGAUUGUAAUAGACUAAUGUAGUGUUGUUUUGGAUGAAUUACAUGUUCAUUCUUACUUUUUGCACACGUGAAGUGCGAAUCCAAGUCCGAAGCUGUGAAGCAUAUCAGCAAAGAGUAGCAUAUUAUGUAUUGUAAUUGUAGGUAGUAGUAGGCUUAUUUGGGCUGUAGUAUAAUGUAACGAUUGUAAUAGACUAAUAUAGUGUUGUUUUGGACGAAUUUCAUUUGCUCUUUGGAUUCUUCAAAAUAAUGAUUUUGUAUGUGAA